AUCGGUCACUUCAUCUGCACUUAUACCAUAUACGGCACCUUCCGUCUGAUGCUGGAUCUCUUUGACAAUGAUGUCCUGUACCGUUUUCUUAAUGCAAUCAAGAAGUUCAUUUUCAGAAGUCUUGGAUAUGUACAUUGCAUUUCUUUGGCAAUUUUCUAGAUGUUCGCGUAAAACAGCAUCACCUGCAUCUACUUUUAAUUCAAGUAGGGCCUUAAGAUUGCCAAGGUUAGUAUUGUCAGAAGCAACGUCCAAGCCGUCAUCUUUGUGGCCCCGCAUUGCUAUCCCUUGUCUGCCACACACAUCAAUGCACUUUAUUAUAGAGGUUAAUACCUUUCUAUUCUUCUCAACUUGCUGUGCAACAGCCCUUGUUAAAGUUGAAUCAAUUCGACUCGAUGGCCUCUUCAUGGUACGAGAAAAUUCCUGUAACUUGGCCCAAGAAUGUUAAUGAUAAUAUAAAGUUCCAUGUUUUGAAAGGUCUCCUUCGGCAUCUUUCCAUGACCUGAAUGGGGAGUUGAUGAGAGCAGAUGCCCGCUUUCCGCAAUGAGCAGGAGAGGAAAACAACACCCACGAGAGGCAGUAAAUGCCAUCCUGUUUCCUUGAGCAGGCUGUAUAUUCAAAUUAGACAAAGUGGCCCAACUAGGCAUUAGACCAAUUGGCUAUUAGACCAAAAGAGAAUUGGACUAAGUGGGUUUAGCCCAAAUGUUGUUAGCCCAUCUAAUGAUUAGACCAAGUGAUAUUAGACCAACUGUCAGUAAAUCUUUUUUCGGCUUGGACGUUGAAUCUUUGCGGAAUCCCUGCUCGUAGUAGCUUCCAGAGCAUCCAUCCUCUUCCAGCUCCACCAUUUGUUUGUUGUGGUCCCGCUGGUCCCCUUAAAUACCGUGAAGGAGGCACAGUACCUCAUUCAUUGCUGGGUCAUUUCCAGCGCUCAUUUAGUGGUACUGGACUGGUCUCCGGCUAUGGCCCCGCCUGCAAGAUCUUUCCCGGGCCAUUAUCCUAAGUUCCUCCGUGAGCGCACGGAAUGUAAUUUCUCUUGGCCUCAAAGGGGUUAGGCGGGAGCGGACUUCAUCAUCGACCAACCCUCUCAUGAAUUGAUGGGUCAGCUUCACGUCCCUGUCCUCUACCAUUACCCUAAGAUAUGUCCUUUCCUCAGUCGUGCUCAAAUUGCCCUCCAGGGCAACAGCAUAGGAUCCCACCUUCUCAUGCUGCCGUGGGUCACCACUGUAAAAAUAGUCCGAAUAUUCCCCUCUCAAUACCUCAAACGCUCUCGUUGGAGUUUGCUCGUGAGGAGGGAUAUUAAGGACCAGUCUUCUAGCUUCCCCACCAAGGUUUCACACUAUGGUCGAGAAUUCCAUAUUGACUGGCUGCGGUGAUGCUACUAACAUGUAUUGGAUGUCCUGUAUCUAGUCCUCAAAGAUUUGCUCUCACGCCCAAUGAAUACUGGAACAUUCCGAAUUUGAUGAGUAACCAGGAUGCUAUAGUUUGGUUGUCUUCCAUCGCUGCUCAAGGCUGGUUCAGCCUGUACACCUGGCUGCUCCUGAUUUUCCUGAUACCUGCUUAUCUGAUAUCCUGCUGACUACGCCAAUUUUAUGUAACACUUUGGUUAGAGAUUUCAAGAUAGCUAACUUUUUAUACCGUUUUAAUAGUCGGCAGGAGUUACAUAAAAUAAUUUAGGUGACAAUGAAUAAGUUCAUCUGACAACGCUGGAGUAAUUAUCUGUCACGUUUGGAAGAGAGUGAAAGAAACAAAACCACACUUAUACAUUAAACAAAGUGAGGAAUAUAAUAUUUCAAGCACAACAAUAACUUUGUCAGUUGUCAGUGCUUAAAGCUUUCAUGAAAUGAUACCCUGAUAUCUGGGAAACAUUGAAAAUAACAGCAUUUAAACAACCUUUGGCAUUUGGGGCGACCGGUAAUUAAAUCACAUACAUAAAUUGGGUAAACUACAGUUUAGAAUAUGGACCAAACUAGAUUAUAUUUAAAGAACCAGUUAAUCAUGAGCUCUUCUAUAUUAUGUUAAGUCAUGGUUAAUCUCUAAUACACCUGUGCGAUCACAUGGAUAUGGAAUCUGUCUCGGUAUUAUCUGAUGAGAUUGUGACAGGAACAACUGCUGUUGUAGAAUAUACAUGCCUCAAGUUUUAGGAGCAUUCCGUGAAAAAAGUAUCAUGAUUCGGAGUACGCAAUUCAUUAGAUGACCUUGGCAUUGUUCAAAUUGACAUUAAAUUUGUGAUUUUUGUACCAGCUGCAUGUAGGUAGUUCAUACAGAAAUACACAAAAUGGCUAUUUUCGACUUGACGUGCAGGCACCAUAGGAAAAAUGUGACUGCAGCAUAAAGGAAGCCAGGAAGAAAGGUCAUUUCUCUCUUGAGCCCAUAUCUCAUCAUGAGCCAUUGGUCAAGCAGUGAAAAUGUCCCUCUAUAUUGGACAGUUUAUAGGUAAAGAUUCUUGUGCAAUUUUAUCACUUUAAUGUUGUAUUGUAUUGAAGAUACAGAAUAUUGUAGCUUGUGGACCAAUUUGAUAUGAUCAGUGAAGUAUGAUUAUUUAUAUGAGACAUUAAUAGUUGACCUUUUUUACAUGUAUGGCUGUUCAAUAGCACUUUAUAACAAUCUUUUCUUAAAGCAGACAAUGUUGUAAUGUGUCAUCUAGAUCACUUACAUCUGGAGAUCAAUGCAUAACUUUGAAAGGUCUCUUUCUUGUUUUCUACAAAUGGAAAAAAAACAUGUUUGCCUUCUAGAUAAUGAAUUAUGUCAUUACUGACCAUCUUUUCAAAAAUUUCUGUGCGCUGAUAUUUUAAGCAUCAUUAAUAGUACCUUUUAUACAAUGCCUGAUAAGCUUGUCGUAUACCAAGGAAUGAGAGCUGAAUGUGCAAUCUUUUUAUCAUUGCACACAUACCGUCCAAAAUUAAUCAAGGCUGCACUGAAAUUGAUAUUAAAAUAAUUAAUUUAUGAGCUUAACAAAACAAAUAAUCGGCAGGUUAGCAAAGCAAGUGUCUCCAUAUUGAAAGAGCUUUGUAGAUGAAUUGCAUAAGAAAUAACUGUGAUUGCUGGUGCUUGAAAUUGUUUCCUUGGUUGCUUAGAAUACACUCAAAUAGAAACCACAUUAAUGAUAGGUUAUGUCAUUUAACAUUUUCAUGCAAGAAACAUCGACUUUGUGAAGUUUCUAAUCAUCAAAUGCUGGAAAGGAUUUUUUUUUAUUAUACUGAAGUAAUUUUCCACUCAAAAAACAACUAAGUUAACAUUUUUUUGCACUGAUGUGUUGAUUAAACUGUAUAAGAUUCUGUGCUAUUGUAAAAUUGUGUGUGAGUGACCAAAUUUGUAUUGGCAGGGUUGAAAUAGACCAUUAUUUUCCAAGAUGACCAAGAGUUGAAGUUUGAUCAGGUAUGAUGUUGUUUGAUCAUAUUGUGAUGACAAUCAUUGAUUUUGAAAUCGAUUAGAAAUAUCGUUUGGAAAAUUAUUGUAAUUAGUUUUUAGACAGCAAUUUACAGCUCUUGAAACAAUUUAUUGAGGGUCAGAGGGUAAAUCAAAUCCUUUUGAUGUUCAGUUCAUGAAGCAGAUCCCAGUGAUGUUUUUUGUACUUUCUUAAACACUUGUGCAAUGUGAGACUGUAUGAAUGUAACUUUACACAUGUAUUAUGUUUUGAAUGAAGUUGAUAGGAUAAUAUAUGCCUGAAUUUGCAUUAAAUAUAUUUACAGCGAAUAGUGAUUAAGGUCAUACAUGGUGCUGCUUAGAGAUGACCCUGUACAACCUAUAGAUAUCUUUUCUAUGUACAGGAAACAUGCCAUAGCUGAGAUGCAAAAGAUCUUGUUCCUCCUGAAAAAAAAAUUUGGCCAGUGCAGACAAAACGUAUUAAACUUAUAUAGAGUUGGCCAUAAAUACAAAUUGUAUUUCUUUAUUUAAAGGACAAGACUACACAGAUGUGCCAAGCAAUAUGAAAGCAAUAUUCUGAUUUAAGACAGAUAACAAAAAUCAUUCUAGUAUUUGUCAGAUGUCUACCUCAAUAAAAAAAACAAUAUCAAGUUUGUAUUGAAUUACAGAUUAGCAAUAGAUUGAAUCUGAAAUUUGUCAUUCAGAAACAAUUGUGGUAUCAAUGCAACAUGAAGAAAUGAAAUUAGUAUUAUGCAAUUGAUUGUUAUUACAUUUAUAUGUAGUUUAUGCAUCAGUUUAACAGGGUCUACUUCUAAAUUAAUAUUAAAGUGCUAAUGUUCAAAUGAUUUUUACUUACAUUUCCUUACAUUUGUUAUACUUCCACAUUUGAUAUGCUGUAUUUUUAUCAGUGAUUACAUGGGCAGUGGAAACAUAGUAAAUGUGAUCUAAAUGUUCGAAACCAAUAUUUGCAAUUGAUUCAUCUGAUAUUAGACAUUUAGGAUGCAUACAGUCAUUAGGCAGUAGUAUGUUACAGGGCUUGAAUGUGGAAUUAGUUGUGUUUAUUGAAUUGAAAUGUUAUUUUUGGCACACUAAUAUGAUCCAAUUUGUACCUUUGUUUAAUCAUAGAUUCAUGAGGGGUGUUUAAGUACCCAUAAUAAUCAUGAAUCAUAGAUUUUGUGAAAAAAAAAAAUAUUGAAAAAUUAUUGCUAACUUGCCCAACAUUUAAAAAUAAUGCAUUUCUUAUUCAUUAAUGUUAUAAGACAGUUGCUCUGAAAAAAAAGAAUGAGUACUUGGUUCAUUCCUGGCAUUUAAUCAUGAUCCUGAUGAUCUAACAACUCCAUUGUAAUUUGGCCUGAUGAAUCGAAUUGUUAUAUGGAUAGGAUUUCAGUUUGUAAUCUGCAAAUAAGUACCAAAAAAAGACCGUAAUAUUGUCACUGAAAUUUUAUCAAAAAUAUGAAAUGUUUUUUCUUUAAAUUGUAUAGAAGUUAUCAUUUUGCCACUGGAAUAACCAUUUUCCUCUGUGUAGAUGGACAUGGAGCUAGCAGCAAGUGUCAUUAGGAUUUGUUUUAAAGCUCAUUUGUAUGAUUUCUUAGAUUUUAAGGACUUUACUUUCUCUGAAAUAUCAAAAUUAGAUUUUCUAAAUAUCAAAUUAUUUCUUAAAUGUUGGUAGCAUUCAUAUACUCUGUAAUUUUCCCCUUUAAUUUUUUGUAAGAAAAAUGAAAAUGUUUUACUUUCCUUUUACCGGAAAUUACUACUUUUUCAUACUAGUUUUACCUGUAUUUCAGUUCAAAAGGCUUGCUGGAAUUUUAUUAUGUUUAAUCACUGUGUGAAGUAGAUUACAUACACAUUGUUAUUAAUAUUCAAGAGUAGAAUGUGCAAACAAUGCCUCAGUUUUUAUUGUGCUGCAAUAUCCUACCAUAAGGUGCUAGAAUAAAUCAAUCAGUCCAAGUA